CCUACGGGAGGCAGCAGUAGGGAAUAUUGGGCAAUGGUCGCGAGACUGACCCAGCCAUGCCGCGUGAAGGAAGAAGGUUUCUGAGUUGUAAACUUCUUUUAUCUGGGAAUAGGUACCAGAUGAAUAAGCACCGGCUAACUCCGUGCCAGCAGCCGCGGUAAUACGGAGGGUGCAAGCGUUGUCCGGAUUUAUUGGGUUUAAAGGGUGCGUAGGCGGUUUGAUAAGUCAGUGUUUAAAGUCUGCAGCUUAACUGUAGGAAUGGCAUUGAUACUGUUGAACUUGAGUAAAGUUGAGGUAGGCGGAAUUGAAGGUGUAGCGGUGAAAUGCUUAGAUAUCUUCAAGAACACCAAUUGCGAAGGCAGCUUACUAACUUAACUGACGCUGAGGCACGAAAGCGUGGGGAUCAAACAGGAUUAGAUACCCUGGUAGUC
rnacentral:rRNA from 1 species